rnacentral:rRNA from 1 species
ACAGACGAGGAGCUUGCUCCUCUGACGUUAGCGGCGGACGGGUGAGUAACACAUGGAUAACCUACCUAUAAGACUGGGAUAACUUCGGGAAACCGGAGCUAAUACCGGAUAACAUGUUGAACCGCAUGGUUCAACAGUGAAAGACGGUCUUGCUGUCACUUAUAGAUGGAUCCGCGCCGCAUUAGCUAGUUGGUAAGGUAACGGCUUACCAAGGCAACGAUGCGUAGCCGACCUGAGAGGGUGAUCGGCCACACUGGAACUGAGACACGGUCCAGACUCCUACGGGAGGCAGCAGUAGGGAAUCUUCCGCAAUGGGCGAAAGCCUGACGGAGCAACGCCGCGUGAGUGAAGAAGGUCUUCGGAUCGUAAAACUCUGUUAUUAGGGAAGAACAAAUGUGUAAGUAACUAUGCACGUCUUGACGGUACCUAAUCAGAAAGCCACGGCUAACUACGUGCCAGCAGCCGCGGUAAUACGUAGGUGGCAAGCGUUAUCCGGAAUUAUUGGGCGUAAAGCGCGCGUAGGCGGUUUUUUAAGUCUGAUGUGAAAGCCCACGGCUCAACCGUGGAGGGUCAUUGGAAACUGGAAAACUUGAGUGCAGAAGAGGAAAGUGGAAUUCCAUGUGUAGCGGUGAAAUGCGCAGAGAUAUGGAGGAACACCAGUGGCGAAGGCGACUUUCUGGUCUGUAACUGACGCUGAUGUA